AAAACGCUAUUUUUUGUCAGCGCCUGAAAACUCGUAUGUGACAGACACUUCAAACACGAACACAACUGAUAACGUGGCAACUGUAUUUGGUGAUCGGAGGACAGUUUUGAGCCAAAUUAAUCUGACAGAUGACAAAGGGUGCAUAUAUAACAGACUGAUGGGUUGCAGGUGACAGAAACAGGAUUUCCCAUGAUUUACACCAUCCUAAUAUUAUUAAAUGGUGGUUUAUCCAUGACACCAUCCUUCCCAAGCCGAUGCCUCAGGUCGGGGCUCUGUCAAUUCAAGUGGCAUGCCCUGGCUGUCUCUGGCUCUCCUUGUGGACAGAAUGGACCCAGUAUUGGUCAUCAGAAAGUUUGCUCCGGAGGGGACAACCUAAGAGGGCAGAGAGCAGAGUCUGCUAUUGCAUGCCCCGACCACUGCGCGCUCACAGUAGCGGCGACGGCACUUAGUUUUUAAACAAACAUGGCAGGGUUUGGUUUGGUGACAGACGAUGAUUUGAACAAGCUUACUGAUGGUGCUCAUUCUUCUAACACACA